UCCUACGGGGGGCAGCAGUGGGGAAUAUUGCACAAUGGGGGGAACCCUGAUGCAGCGACGCCGCGUGGGCGACGAAGCGCUCCGGCGCGUAAAGCCCUGUCAGCAGGGGAGAACAAAGACAGUACCUGACCAAGAAGCCCCGGCUAACUACGUGCCAGCAGCCGCGGUAACACGUAGGGGGCAAGCGUUAUCCGGAUUCACUGGGCGUAAAGGGAGCGCAGGCGGCACGGCAAGCUUG
rnacentral:rRNA from 1 species